UUAAGCGACUAAGCGUACACGGUGGAUGCCCUGGCAGUCAGAGGCGAUGAAGGACGUGCUAAUCUGCGAUAAGCGUCGGUAAGGUGAUAUGAACCGUUAUAACCGGCGAUUUCCGAAUGGGGAAACCCAGUGUGUUUCGACACACUAUCAUUAACUGAAUCCAUAGGUUAAUGAGGCGAACCGGGGGAACUGAAACAUCUAAGUACCCCGAGGAAAAGAAAUCAACCGAGAUUCCCCCAGUAGCGGCGAGCGAACGGGGAGCAGCCCAGAGCCUGAAUCAGUGUGUGUGUUAGUGGAAGCGUCUGGAAAGGCGCGCGAUACAGGGUGACAGCCCCGUACACAAAAAUGCACAUGCUGUGAGCUCGAUGAGUAGGGCGGGACACGUGGUAUCCUGUCUGAAUAUGGGGGGACCAUCCUCCAAGGCUAAAUACUCCUGACUGACCGAUAGUGAACCAGUACCGUGAGGGAAAGGCGAAAAGAACCCCGGCGAGGGGAGUGAAAAAGAACCUGAAACCGUGUACGUACAAGCAGUGGGAGCACAGAGCAAUCUGUGUGACUGCGUACCUUUUGUAUAAUGGGUCAGCGACUUAUAUUCUGUAGCAAGGUUAACCGAAUAGGGGAGCCGAAGGGAAACCGAGUCUUAACUGGGCGUUAAGUUGCAGGGUAUAGACCCGAAACCCGGUGAUCUAGCCAUGGGCAGGUUGAAGGUUGGGUAACACUAACUGGAGGACCGAACCGACUAAUGUUGAAAAAUUAGCGGAUGACUUGUGGCUGGGGGUGAAAGGCCAAUCAAACCGGGAGAUAGCUGGUUCUCCCCGAAAGCUAUUUAGGUAGCGCCUCGUGAAUUCAUCUCCGGGGGUAGAGCACUGUUUCGGCAAGGGGGUCAUCCCGACUUACCAACCCGAUGCAAACUGCGAAUACCGGAGAAUGUUAUCACGGGAGACACACGGCGGGUGCUAACGUCCGUCGUGAAGAGGGAAACAACCCAGACCGCCAGCUAAGGUCCCAAAGUCAUGGUUAAGUGGGAAACGAUGUGGGAAGGCCCAGACAGCCAGGAUGUUGGCUUAGAAGCAGCCAUCAUUUAAAGAAAGCGUAAUAGCUCACUGGUCGAGUCGGCCUGCGCGGAAGAUGUAACGGGGCUAAACCAUGCACCGAAGCUGCGGCAGCGACGCUUAUGCGUUGUUGGGUAGGGGAGCGUUCUGUAAGCCUGCGAAGGUGUGCUGUGAGGCAUGCUGGAGGUAUCAGAAGUGCGAAUGCUGACAUAAGUAACGAUAAAGCGGGUGAAAAGCCCGCUCGCCGGAAGACCAAGGGUUCCUGUCCAACGUUAAUCGGGGCAGGGUGAGUCGACCCCUAAGGCGAGGCCGAAAGGCGUAGUCGAUGGGAAACAGGUUAAUAUUCCUGUACUUGGUGUUACUGCGAAGGGGGGACGGAGAAGGCUAUGUUGGCCGGGCGACGGUUGUCCCGGUUUAAGCGUGUAGGCUGGUUUUCCAGGCAAAUCCGGAAAAUCAAGGCUGAGGCGUGAUGACGAGGCACUACGGUGCUGAAGCAACAAAUGCCCUGCUUCCAGGAAAAGCCUCUAAGCAUCAGGUAACAUCAAAUCGUACCCCAAACCGACACAGGUGGUCAGGUAGAGAAUACCAAGGCGCUUGAGAGAACUCGGGUGAAGGAACUAGGCAAAAUGGUGCCGUAACUUCGGGAGAAGGCACGCUGAUAUGUAGGUGAGGUCCCUCGCGGAUGGAGCUGAAAUCAGUCGAAGAUACCAGCUGGCUGCAACUGUUUAUUAAAAACACAGCACUGUGCAAACACGAAAGUGGACGUAUACGGUGUGACGCCUGCCCGGUGCCGGAAGGUUAAUUGAUGGGGUUAGCGGUAACGCGAAGCUCUUGAUCGAAGCCCCGGUAAACGGCGGCCGUAACUAUAACGGUCCUAAGGUAGCGAAAUUCCUUGUCGGGUAAGUUCCGACCUGCACGAAUGGCGUAAUGAUGGCCAGGCUGUCUCCACCCGAGACUCAGUGAAAUUGAACUCGCUGUGAAGAUGCAGUGUACCCGCGGCAAGACGGAAAGACCCCGUGAACCUUUACUAUAGCUUGACACUGAACAUUGAGCCUUGAUGUGUAGGAUAGGUGGGAGGCUUAGAAGUGUGGACGCCAGUCUGCAUGGAGCCGACCUUGAAAUACCACCCUUUAAUGUUUGAUGUUCUAACGUUGACCCGUAAUCCGGGUUGCGGACAGUGUCUGGUGGGUAGUUUGACUGGGGCGGUCUCCUCCUAAAGAGUAACGGAGGAGCACGAAGGUUGGCUAAUCCUGGUCGGACAUCAGGAGGUUAGUGCAAUGGCAUAAGCCAGCUUGACUGCGAGCGUGACGGCGCGAGCAGGUGCGAAAGCAGGUCAUAGUGAUCCGGUGGUUCUGAAUGGAAGGGCCAUCGCUCAACGGAUAAAAGGUACUCCGGGGAUAACAGGCUGAUACCGCCCAAGAGUUCAUAUCGACGGCGGUGUUUGGCACCUCGAUGUCGGCUCAUCACAUCCUGGGGCUGAAGUAGGUCCCAAGGGUAUGGCUGUUCGCCAUUUAAAGUGGUACGCGAGCUGGGUUUAGAACGUCGUGAGACAGUUCGGUCCCUAUCUGCCGUGGGCGCUGGAGAACUGAGGGGGGCUGCUCCUAGUACGAGAGGACCGGAGUGGACGCAUCACUGGUGUUCGGGUUGUCAUGCCAAUGGCACUGCCCGGUAGCUAAAUGCGGAAGAGAUAAGUGCUGAAAGCAUCUAAGCACGAAACUUGCCCCGAGAUGAGUUCUCCCUGACUCCUUGAGAGUCCUGAAGGAACGUUGAAGACGACGACGUUGAUAGGCCGGGUGUGUAAGCGCAGCGAUGCGUUGAGCUAACCGGUACUAAUGAACCGUGAGGCUUAACCUU
rnacentral:rRNA from 3 species